rnacentral:rRNA from 1 species
AGAAAAUAGGUUAUAAGCGAAUGGUGGAUGCCUUGGGAUAUUAAAGUGACGAAAGACGUGGCGUGCCUGCGAUAAGCAUCGGGGAGCUGGCUAGCAAGCUUUGAUCCGGUGAUGUCUGAAUGGGGAAACCCUAUUGCGGUAAUACGCGAUAAUCUUUGCAGCAAUGCAGAGAAGCUAACCCGCUGAAGUGAAACAUCUCAGUAAGCGGAGGAACAAAAAACAAUGAAAAUUUUUAUUCCCUGUUGAUUAGAAUUCUGAAUAGGGAUUAAGAAUUUUCGCAUUCCCUUAGUAGUGGCGAGCGAAAAGGGAACAGUCUAAACCAAUAUUUAUAUUGGGGUUGAAAGGGUUUAACGUCGGGAGCAUUAUUUAAUUCUCGAAUAGUCGAGAAUUGGAUAAUGACUAUCGAGGGAGAGCAUCUAGGUAAUUAUUUAGAAAAAGCACCCUGGAAAGGGGCACCAUAGAGGGUAAUAGUCCCGUAUUUAAAAAAUAUUUUACGCUCCUUGUUAGAUUUCUUAAGUACUGUCGGGCAUGAUAACCUGGCAGGAAGCAGGCCGAACUAUCGGCCAAGACUAAAUAUUUAAUAUCACCGAUAGUGAACCAGUACCGUGAGGGAAAGGUGAAAAGUAGGGGGAUGACCCCGGUGAAAUAGAACCUGAAACCAUUUGCUUACAAAGAGUCGGAGCACUUUAAUGUGUGACGGCGUGCUUUUUGCAGAACGAGCCAACGAGUUUGUCUACACAGUUUGUCUAAGCCCUUACGGGGUGAAGGCGUAGCGAAAGCGAGUGUGAAUAGCGCGAAAUAUACUGUGUGUACAAGACCCGAAGCGUGACGAGCUUACCAUGUGCAGGCUGAAGUCUGUAGAAAUACGGAUGGAGGGCCGAACCCGUGAGUCGUGCAAUCCUCUGGGAUGACGUGUGGUAAGGAGUGAAAAGCUAAUCGAGUUACGUAAUAGCUGGUUCUUCCCGAAACAGCUUUGGGGCUGGCGUCUAGAGCCAAUAUAUGGGGGUAGAGCACUAAAUAGAAAUCCUUGGUCUUUGACCAGGUUUUCUAAUUAAACUCCGAAUACCAUAUAUUUUGUCUAGGCAGUUAGACCGUGGGGGCUAAGCUCCAUGGUCAAAAGAGUAACAGCUCAGAUCAUCGUCUAAGGUCCCUAAAUUAAACUAAGUGUUUUGAAGGAAGUGUUUUGCCCUCGACAGGCAGGAAGUUAGCUUAGAGGUAGCUAUCUUUUAAAGAGUGUGUAACAACUCACUGUCCUAACUUUGCGGAUUUCCGCGAAGAGGGGCGAAGUGCGCCAAAGAUUUCCGGGGCUAAAGUUUAAUACCGAAGACAUGGAAUAGUUUUGCCUUCGGGCAAAACGAUUGGUAGGGAAGCGUUCUUAGCUGCAGUGAAGGCGAAGAGGAAUCGACGCUGGAGCGCUAAGAAGUGAGAAUGUUGGCCUGAGUAACCGCAAUAGGGGUGAAAGCCCCCUACACCGAAAGUCCAAGGUUUCCUUGGCAAUGGUAUUCAACCAAGGGUUAGUCGGUCCUAAGGUAUAGCCGAAAGGCGCAACUAAUGGAUAGUCGGUUAAUAUUCCGACACUUGGAUUUGUUUCUACUACGUUGCACAGCACAAUAAUGUUAGCGGAUUAUCGGAUUUCACGUUCCUGGCUUUUAAGGGCAGGGAAAAGCUGGUUUAAACACCGGCAAUUGACGUGACCGUGCUGUCUAGAAAAGGCGUAGUGGGCUAAGCAGAUUCAAACCGUACCGCAAACCGACACAGGUGGACAAGCGUAAGUAUGCUAAGGUGAACGGGUGAAACCUCGUUAAGGAACUAGGCAAACAAGUGGACGUAAGUUCGCAAUAUGUCCUGCCCAAGAUCGCAAGAUUAUUGGGCUGCAACAACCGUCUUUCAACCGACUGUUUAUCAAAAACACAGCUCCCUGCUAACUCGCAAGAGGAUGUAUAGGGGGUGAGGCCUGACCAGUGCUGGAAUGUUAAGUUUGGGAGUGAUAGUCGCAAGAUUAUUGCCCACUGAAUGAAGCACCAGUGAACGUCGGCGAUAACUAUAAUCGUCCAAAGGUAGCGUAAUCCCUUGCCGGGUAAGUUCCGGCCCGCAUGAAUGGCUUAACGAGUUGAAAACUGUCUCAACGAGGCGCCCGGUGAAAAUGCAAUACCAGUGAAGAUGCUGGUUACCUGCGGCUAGACGGAAAGACCCCGGAAGCUUUACUGUAGUUAGAUAUUGAGUUUUAAUUUUUGAUGCGUAGCGUAGUGGUGAGCCUUUGAAGCGGUAAUUUCGGUUACCGU